CGAACCGCAGGCUUGGGAGAGCCGUGGGGUUCGAAAACGAUCCGGCGGCGGCCUGGGAGGGCCUUCACGCGGGUCCUCAAGGGGAGAACCACCGAUGGAGAAUACGCUCCUCAUCGGACUGUCGCGGCAGAUGAUGCUCG
rnacentral:ncRNA from 1 species